rnacentral:rRNA from 1 species
GAGGAAAGAGGGAGGCGUGCUUAACACAUGCAAGUCGAACGGAAAGGCCCAAGCUUGCUUGGGUACUCGAGUGGCGAACGGGUGAGUAACACGUGGGUGAUCUGCCCUGCACUUCGGGAUAAGCCUGGGAAACUGGGUCUAAUACCGGAUAGGACGAUGGUUUGGAUGCCAUUGUGGAAAGUUUUUUCGGUGUGGGAUGAGCUCGCGGCCUAUCAGCUUGUUGGUGGGGUAAUGGCCUACCAAGGCGUCGACGGGUAGCCGGCCUGAGAGGGUGUACGGCCACAUUGGGACUGAGAUACGGCCCAGACUCCUACGGGAGGCAGCAGUGGGGAAUAUUGCACAAUGGGCGCAAGCCUGAUGCAGCGACGCCGCGUGGGGGAUGACGGCCUUCGGGUUGUAAACUCCUUUCGCUAGGGACGAAGCGUUUUUGUGACGGUACCUGGAGAAGAAGCACCGGCUAACUACGUG